rnacentral:rRNA from 1 species
GCACAAGCGGUGGAGCAUGUGGUCUAAUUCGAGGCUACACGAAGAACCUUACCUGGGUUUGACAUACAAGUAGUAGUGAAGCGAAAGCGGAACGACCUUCGGGAGCUUGUACAGGUGCUGCAUGGCUGUCGUCAGCUCGUGCCGUGAGGUGUUCGGUUAAGUCCGCAAACGAGCGCAACCCUCGGCGUUAGUUACAAGUGUCUAACGCAACUGCCCGUGAGAAACGGGAGGAAGGUGGGGAUGACGUCAAGUCAGCAUGGCCUUUAUAUCCAGGGCUACACACACGCUACAAUGGGCGGUACAACGGGUCGCGAAGCCGCGAGGUGGAGCCAAUCCAUAAAGCCGUUCGUAGUUCGGAUUGCAGGCUGCAACUCGCCUGCAUGAAGUCGGAGUUGCUAGUAACCGCAGGUCAGCUAUACUGCGGUGAAUACGUUCCCGGGC